AUUGAACGCUGGCGGCAGGCCUAACACAUGCAAGUCGAACGAGUGGCGGACGGGUGAGUAAUGUCUGGGACACUGCCUGAUGGAGGGGGAUAACUACUGGAAACGGUAGCUAAUACCGCAUACCAUCGGAUGUGCACAGAUGGGCUUAGCUAUUAGGUGGGGUAAAGGCUCACCUAGGCGACGCUCCCUAGCUGGUCUGAGAGGAUGACCAGCCACACUUGAACUUAGCCACGGUCCAGACUCCUACGGGAGGCAGCAGUGGGGAAUAUUUCACAAUGGGCGCAAUCCUGAUGCAGCCAUGCCGCGUGUAUGAAGAAGGCCUUCGGGUUGUAAAGUACUUUCAGCGGGGAGGCGUUACCCGCAGAAGAAGCACCGGCUAACUCCGUGCCAGCAGCCGCGGUAAUUC
rnacentral:rRNA from 1 species